GGUAAGGAUCGCUGUCUUCGACAUCGCUUCUUGUAUACUGUUCUUGUAAAGCGGUUGUCUAUUGACUUAUGAAGUUUGUCUUUGUAGAACGGGCAGUCGGGGGCUGCGGAAAGGAAGGGUUGUACUGGAUCCCCCUCCGUGUCAAGUGCUGCUGCGAACGUGAACUAUAAAACCACGAAAGGAGUGGCAAUGUGUUGUAGGAUUUGCUUCAAUAAACUAGCUUUAACUUUA